CAAUAGCGUAUAUUAAAGUUGUUGCAGUUAAAAAGCUCGUAGUUGGAUUUCUGGUGGGGCUGUCGGCCUGGCUCCGAAAGGGGUCGUGGUAUCGUUACACGCCUGGCCAUCCUCGGGGGAAGCUUUGCUGGCAUUAAGUUGUCGGCGGAGUGACGCUCGUCGUUUACUGUGAACAAAUUAGAGUGUUCAAAGCAGGCUUAGGCCGUUGAAUACAUUAGCAUGGAAUAAUGAGAUAGGACUUUGGUGGUCUAUUUUGUUGGUUUGCACGCCGAAGUAAUGAUUAAUAGGGGCGGUUGGGGGUAUUCGUAUUCAAUUGUCAGAGGUGAAAUUCUUGGAUUUAUGGAAGACGAACUACUGCGAAAGCAUUUACCAAGGAUGUUUUCAUUAA
rnacentral:rRNA from 1 species